rnacentral:rRNA from 1 species
UUUAUGGAGAGUUUGAUCCUGGCUCAGAGUGAACGCUGGCGGCGUGCCUAAUACAUGCAAGUCGAACGAUGAAGCUUCUAGCUUGCUAGAGUGCUGAUUAGUGGCGCACGGGUGAGUAACGCAUAGGUCAUGUGCCUCUUAGUUUGGGAUAGCCAUUGGAAACGAUGAUUAAUACCAGAUACUCCCUACGGGGGAAAGAUUUAUCGCUAAGAGAUCAGCCUAUGUCCUAUCAGCUUGUUGGUAAGGUAAUGGCUUACCAAGGCUAUGACGGGUAUCCGGCCUGAGAGGGUGAACGGACACACUGGAACUGAGACACGGUCCAGACUCCUACGGGAGGCAGCAGUAGGGAAUAUUGCUCAAUGGGGGAAACCCUGAAGCAGCAACGCCGCGUGGAGGAUGAAGGUUUUAGGAUUGUAAACUCCUUUUGUUAGAGAAGAUAAUGACGGUAUCUAACGAAUAAGCACCGGCUAACUCCGUGCCAGCAGCCGCGGUAAUACGGAGGGUGCAAGCGUUACUCGGAAUCACUGGGCGUAAAGAGCGCGUAGGCGGGAUAGUCAGUCAGGUGUGAAAUCCUAUGGCUUAACCAUAGAACUGCAUUUGAAACUACUAUUCUAGAGUGUGGGAGAGGUAGGUGGAAUUCUUGGUGUAGGGGUAAAAUCCGUAGAGAUCAAGAGGAAUACUCAUUGCGAAGGCGACCUGCUGGAACAUUACUGACGCUGAUUGCGCGAAAGCGUGGGGAGCAAACAGGAUUAGAUACCCUGGUAGUCCACGCCCUAAACGAUGGAUGCUAGUUGUUGGAGGGCUUAGUCUCUCCAGUAAUGCAGCUAACGCAUUAAGCAUCCCGCCUGGGGAGUACGGUCGCAAGAUUAAAACUCAAAGGAAUAGACGGGGACCCGCACAAGCGGUGGAGCAUGUGGUUUAAUUCGAAGAUACACGAAGAACCUUACCUAGGCUUGACAUUGAGAGAAUCCGCUAGAAAUAGUGGAGUGUCUGGCUUGCUAGACCUUGAAAACAGGUGCUGCACGGCUGUCGUCAGCUCGUGUCGUGAGAUGUUGGGUUAAGUCCCGCAACGAGCGCAACCCCCUUUCUUAGUUGCUAACAGGUCAUGCUGAGAACUCUAAGGAUACUGCCUCCGUAAGGAGGAGGAAGGUGGGGACGACGUCAAGUCAUCAUGGCCCUUACGCCUAGGGCUACACACGUGCUACAAUGGGGUGCACAAAGAGAAGCAAUACUGCGAAGUGGAGCCAAUCUUCAAAACACCUCUCAGUUCGGAUUGUAGGCUGCAACUCGCCUGCAUGAAGCUGGAAUCGCUAGUAAUCGCAAAUCAGCCAUGUUGCGGUGAAUACGUUCCCGGGUCUUGUACUCACCGCCCGUCACACCAUGGGAGUUGUGUUUGCCUUAAGUCAGGAUGCUAAAUUGGCUACUGCCCACGGCACACACAGCGACUGGGGUGAAGUCGUAACAAGGUAACCGUAGGUGAACCUGCGGUUGGAUCACCUCCU